UCUUUUAACAUAUGCUGUUCAUUUUAAGUUUAAAAAAAAAAAAAAAAGUUAUUUAGUUGCCCAUUUCAAUGAACUCUGAACUCAAUCUCACCAUCCUGGCUUCCUCUGAGCACUUUGAGCGGCAUCUCAGGGGUGUGGAUUUGGGCCCCAUUCACCAAGGUUGUAUUGAGAAAGUGACUUUUCAACUUCUUUGAAAAUCUCUUCACCUGUGUGGUUGUUCCAUGCAUACUAUUCACAGAAGCUAGUUCUUCCAUAACUACUCAAAAUUACUGCUGACCCCGCGAAUAAACAACAGCAGCUGCGAAGUAUCAGAAACAUUGGUUGACUCGGCAAGUGCGAGGGAAAACCACUCAAACUUCUUAGCCUUUUCAUUCAGCUGGAAAAUUAUAUUACUGCCAAUGUCCUCGAUUCUGUGAGCAACUGUGUUCUCUGAAAGACUAAUUGUCUUAAAUAAAUCUACUUUUUCUGGG